rnacentral:rRNA from 1 species
UUCUUUAAUUAGAGGUGUUGGGGCGUGGACGUGAGUGCUGCUGGUGCCCUGGUUGCAUCGGCUCACUUGAAAUAUGUUAGCUGACUCCUCUAGAGGUGGUUCUACUCGACGUGAUAAGAUCUCCGUCGAGGACAGUGCAACUUGUUGUGCUGGCCGCUCCUAGCAGUUGACGUCGCUUCUAAUUAGCGCAGACUUCGAGUGCUGGCAACUUUUGACAACUUGGCCUCAAAUCAGGUAGGACUACCCACUGAACUUAAGCAUAUCAAUAAGUGGAGGAAAAGAAACUAACAAGGAUUCCCCUAGUAACGGCGAGUGAAGCGGGAAGAGCUCAAAUUUAAAAUCUGGCAGGCUACGCUUGUCCGAAUUGUAAUCUCGAGAAGUGUUUUCCGCGUUGGCCUGUGUACAAGUCCCUUGGAACAGGGCGUCAUAGAGGGUGAGAAUCCCGUCCUUGACACAGACACCCAAUGCUUUGUGAUACACUCUCAAUGAGUCGAGUUGUUUGGGAAUGCAGCUCAAAAUGGGUGGUAAAUUCCAUCUAAAGCUAAAUACUGGCGAGAGACCGAUAGCGAACAAGUACCGUGAGGGAAAGAUGAAAAGCACUUUGGAAAGAGAGUCAAACAGUACGUGAAAUUGUUGAAAGGGAAACGAUUGAAGUCAGUCGUGCCUGCCUAGUCUCAGCCUUUUGGUGUACUACUAGGUCGGCAGGUCAGCAUCAGUUUGGGAGGAUUAACAAGGGAGUUAGGAAUGUGGCAACCUCGGUUGUGUUAUAGCCUAGCUUCGCAUUGAUCUUGCUGGACUGAGGAACGCAGUGCGCCCGCAAGGGUUGGUCUUCGGACACAUCGCACUAGGA